rnacentral:ncRNA from 2 species
UUAAGUCGCGUCGGGAGAGAUCGGCCGUUUCUGAAUGGAAACAGGCCGGCGCCGAAGGAGCAACCGCCCCGGAAACUCUCAGGCAAACGGACCGCGCGACUUGU